CUACGGGAGGCAGCAGUGAGGAAUAUUGCACAAUGGGGGGAACCCUGAUGCAGCAACGCCGCGUGGAGGAUGACGCAUUUCGGUGUGUAAACUCCUUUUAUAUGUCAAGAAAAUGACGGUAGCAUAUGAAUAAGCACCGGCUAACUCCGUGCCAGCAGCCGCGGUAAUACGGAGGGUGCAAGCGUUACUCGGAAUCACUGGGCGUAAAGGACGCGUAGGCUGUUUAGCAAGUCAGAUGUGAAAUCCAAUGGCUCAACCAUUGAACUGCAUUUGAAACUGCUAGACUAGAGUAUGGGAGGGGCAGAUGGAAUUAGUGGUGUAGGGGUAAAAUCCGUAGAUAUCACUAGGAAUACCUAAAGCGAAGGCGAUCUGCUGGAACAUUACUGACGCUAAGGCGUGAAAGCGUGGGGAGCAAACAGGAUUAGAUACCCGGGUAGUC
rnacentral:rRNA from 1 species